rnacentral:misc_RNA from 1 species
CAGGCCAUACAGGAAGUUCCUUUGACUUUUCUUCUUUACAAUGCUGGACAGUCGAUGAUAAUUGCACCUGAAGUAAAACUGGUUUUCUGUUGGGACCUCUUUACCCAUAUCUGGGAAUUGUUUUUUUUANUAUAUAUAUAUGUGUGUGUGUGUGUGUGUUUUCUAAGAAGUAUCUCUUAUAUUUUGAAAUCUGCUAAUUUGCUGGGAAUGCUGAAUGUUUUGUGGUUACUACUUGUGAUAUAAUAAUGUUUCAUUCAGCAUUCCCAGCAAAUUAGCAGAUUUCAAAAUAUAAGAGAUACUUCUUAGAAAACACACACACACACACACAUAUAUAUAUAUAAAAAAAACAAUUCCCAGAUAUGGGUAAAGAGGUCCCAACAGAAAACCAGUUUUACUUCAGGUGCAAUUAUCAUCGACUGUCCAGCAUUGUAAAGAAGAAAAGUCAAAGGAACUUCCUGUAUGGCCUG